UAUGAUAGAGGCGCGGCUGCCAUCAGUACCUUCCCGACAAACGUCAGACAGCGGGGAAGAGAAAGGGGCUGCCGCCGAAGCGCUGUUCCCGCUGUCUGGCGGGGCGGAGGCUGGGCCGACGGAGAACAUCCGGCGGACUGUCACGGAAACGUGGAGCGCUGUC
rnacentral:ncRNA from 1 species